GAGCACCAAUUCUCUUGGUGGCAAUAUUGCUUCCUGGGUGAAAAACACUCCUCCAUACGUUUUCUUUACUUGCCGUCGGUGACGGAGUUGUUGGUGUCGCCGGAGUUCCUGGCGUCGGCGGACUGGCCGGCAUCGAGAGAGACCUCUGGUAUUUGCUAGAUCCUUCUCCAGAUUCCCCACCUGCUCCAUAUUCCAUAAACAAAACAUCACAUAAAGCAAGAAAACAACAAACGAAAACUUUAUAUAUCCAAAACAUAUUGCAUGGCAGCAUCUAUUUUAAUAUCCUUUAAAACAUAUCAAUAUGAAAAUUAAGAAUUUUAAUUAAGUCAGUGGAUCUGUGAUUCUGUUUGUAUAUGUACUUCUAGUUUUUCUUUAAUUAAAUAUUUAUGAGGAUCAAUUGGAAUUCAACGGAACUCACUGCCAGUAUAUAUAUUAUAGGUCCGCCUCUGGUUCAAACAGAGUUUUCAAUUUAACAAAAGGAUUUACAUAUAGGAGUAUAUGCUUUUGAGAAUUAUAUAUAUGAGUACCAGUUUGAACAGUGAGGCUUUUUCGGAGCUUGCCAAGGCCAUUAUCAGGUUGAGGUCCAGCCAUAACAUCAUCCCAUAAUUUAUCAAUCAACACCAUCUUCUCUCUGAUCUCUCUCUUACUUCACUAUUCUUUGAUCUUCUGUAGUCAGACUUGAAUUUUUC
rnacentral:lncRNA from 1 species